rnacentral:tRNA from 2 species
GCGGGUAUGGCAUAACGGCUGUGCACCAGCCUUCCAAGCUGGUUAUAGGGGUUCGACCCCCCUUACCCGCUCCA